rnacentral:tRNA from 1 species
GCCUUCGUGGUGUAACGUGUUAGCACACUCGGCGCCUAUUCGAGAGGUCCAGGUUCGAGUCCCGUUGAAGGCA